AACAUUGUUGGCCCAAAAGGACCAUAAAAAUCUAUAUAAUAAAGCAACAGAAAGUAGGGUUUCCUAAUUAUGUUUAUACUCUUCUGCCUCUUCUUUCUUCUUUUCUGCCUCUUUGUCUUGUUGUCCUUCACUUGAAUAUAUUUGCUCCCUCCUCUCCAAACUGUGGUUUCCUUCUUCUUCUUCUUUGGGUGAUAAAUAUUUUUCAUGUGCAUUUUUGUCCCAUUUUCAGAAUCAGCUUUCAAAGGUGUGCUAUCCGAUUGGUUGAGUUCUGCAGGAACUACGAUGAGAGAUGAACCAUGAAUUCUAGCUCUGAAGACCUUUGUGAGAACUCUCCACUUUCUUUUCUUCAUUUUCUUUAUAUCAUCUUUCGAUCUUCGGUUCUUUGUAGUUGAAGCAGACAAGGAGAAAAUGGGUUGCUCACAAGCUGCUUUCUCUUGGACUUCUCUGCUGGGUGCAAAUUUCAAUCUUAAAUCUGGUUCCCUUAUCUCCUUUUGCUGGUGACUAUCUCACUUUUUGGUGGCUGAAGUAGCUUAUUUUGAUUAGUUCCCUUGCAGCUUUUCUUGCUCCCAAAUAGAUCUCAUUCAAUUUGUAAAUAGUGUAGUUGUGGACUCUGUGGCUUUACUUUUGUAUCUAAGCUUACUAGUCAUUUUUGUUGUAGUUUAUUUUCAUAGUCUUGAUUUUGAUGGAAGGAAUCUGUUGUUUGUCAAUAUUAAGAAUUCUCCUUUCUUUUCUUGGUAACUCGUUGAAGUUCCGAAAUUGUAUUAACCCUAUUUUGUUAAUAGCUUCAUUUGCAAUGAAAUCAGCUUGUUGAUUUGCUUCUGUGAAUAUGUGCUUGACUUGUAUGAUAUCCUGUAUUUCUUCUAAUCUCUCAACAAUCUCCCAAGGAAUCCUCCAAUCUUUAGUGAUCAUGUUUUUCAAACUAAGUGAAUCAGUUUCAAGUUUCACUUGUUGAAAACCAUUUUGUUUGUAAUAUUGUAGUGACUUCCAAAUAGCCAUUGUCUCUGCCUCCAUGUUAGUAGCCUCCCCUAUGUUUUGAGCCUCCGCAUAGAUUAGAUUUUCUUCACUGCAUCUCUCCUGGAUUUUCUUUGCUUGCUCUAUCAGUGUUGCAUGUAAUCCAACCUAUGUUUGUAAGUUUCCAACUUACUAUAUGAAAAUAGAUAGUAUGUUUAUACCUUUGAAGCAUGUCCACCAUCUCCAUUAGUUUUGAAGGUAUUCUUUUAAUCCAGUAGUAUUUAAUCCUAAUUAGCUUAUUUAUUCCCAAUGGGCAUUGAUGAUACAUCCAGCUAUAAGUUACCUCUUUUCCAUGCCUCCUUGCAUUCCUCCUCUUCUAAAGCUCCCAAAUUAUCACUGCUCAAACCGGUUUUAGUAUUUAUUGCACUUUUUGGGAGACUUGAUUUCCCACCAUUUAAUGAUGAGUUGUUUCAGUUGCAUUUCCUCCAUAUUGAUACCUGCACAAAGAGCAAAUUGCCUCCAUAGUUUUUGAGCUAUGGGAGCUGUUAGUAACAAAUGUGUCAUGGUCUCAAUUUUCCCCCUUUCACAACAAUAGCAUUUGGAAACCACCUGAUCCCUCAUCUUUUUAAGAUUAUCAUCAGUAGUUAUUCUCUUUCUCCACACUCUCCAUGUGAAGAAUCCAAUCUUGAAAGGUAACCUCUUGAUCCACAUGUCUUUGGCCCAUUCAAACUCCUCCCUCUUUCUUCUCAGCAAAUUAUGGGCUGAACUUAUUGUGAAUAUCCCUUUUUUUACCAAGCCACCUAGCCUUAUCAAUCUUUUCCUUAUCCUUGCAAGGCCUUAUGGUAUUCUAUAAUAUGCUUAGAUAAAUCCUCCGAUAUUAGAGCUUUUAGCUUGUCCUCAUCCCAUUCUCCAUUUGUAAUGAAUUGAUUAAUUUCAAUUUCUUCCUCCCUUGCUCCAUCCCCUUUAAUGAAAUAUAGAGCUCCUAGUCUGGUCCAAUUGUCAAACCAGAAACUAGAAUUCCCUUCUUUCACCUGCCACCAUAUAUCAUGGUCAAUUUCAUCUCUGACCAUUAAUAUCUUCUUCCAAAUACAAGAUCCUUUAGUAUUACUAACAAUCACCGAAUGUAGCUUUAUUCCACAUGUAUCUUCUCCAUAAUAAUGUUGUGAAGGUUCUGAAAUUGCACCAUAGUUUUGAAAACAAAGCCUUGUUUACCUCCUUUAAUAGUCUGAAACCAAUGCCACCCUUCUUUUUUGGAAAAAACAUUUCAUCCCAUGACACCCAGUGCUUACCUUUGAACCCUCUAGUUUUUCCCUAGAAGAACUUGGCAAAAAUUUGAUGAAUCAACUCCAUGACUUUCUUGGUAGGAUUCAUAGCUGAGAGAAGAUAUAUAGGCAUAGACUGUAACACAUGAUUAUUAAGAAUAUACUUGCCCCCAAAAGUUAAGAAUUUACUAUGCCAAGACAUAAUCCUCCUGUUGAUUUUAGGAAUAAGAUCUUAAUAGUUAGAAUUCUUUCUUCCAUAAAAUACUAGACAUCCCAGAUAAGUGAAAGGAAAAUUCCCUUGUCUUAUUCCUGUAAGUCUUCUCAUCCUUAUGGCCACUAUCAAAGGAUUUUUUUCAUGAAGAUAGAAAAAACUUUUAGCUUUAUUGAUUAGUUGUCCUAAAGUAUCUUCUAGUCCCUUAACACCUUCAACAUCUUUAUUAUAGAAAAUUUAUCCCUAAAUAGAAUAAUAUAGUGUCAUUUGCAUAGAAAAGGUGAUUGAUCUUUGGACUCCACUUGGAAAGACCAUAACCUUGAAAUCCUUCAUCCUAAUGUAUACUGUUCAGCCCUUUUAAUAGUACCUUAGCAGCAAUAAUAAAAAGGGUUGGAGAUAAUGGAUCACCUUGUUUUACACCUCUGGAAGAUUGAAAAAAAUCCAAAAGAUCUAACAUUAAUCAAUAUUGAAUACCAGCACUUUUGUGAGGAAGAUCCAUGAAACUCUAUCAUAAGUUUUUGUAAUGUCUGGCUUCACCACUACAUUCACAUUCUUAUUUCACUUGUUGAUGUCUCUCAUUGUCUCCUGGGCUAGCAAUACUUCUCUCUUUAACAAAAUCUGACUGAGUUUGAGAAAUGAUCUUUGGUAGGACAACUAGCAUUCUUUCAUGAACCACCCUUGAUAUAAUCUUAUUGGUAAAAUAGCUUAAGCUUCUAGGCCUUAAGUCAGAGAAGUUCUUUACUAUUUCCUUCUUAGGGAGAAGUACCAAAUUAGUAUAAGUAAUAUGUUUAGGUAACUCUUGACCACAGAAAAAGGCUUUAACAAGCUUUGUGACAUCCUCCCCUACUAUAUCCCAACAUAUCUGAAAGAACAUACCAGAAAACCCAUUUGGGUCACAUGCACUGUUGCCAUUUAAAGCAAAAACAAUUUUUUUAACCUUCUCUUGAUCAGGUACCCUAAUGUCUUUAUUUUCUUCCGUUGUUAUGAUCCUGGGAAUAUAUUCAGCAUAUAAAUGUCCUUGUCAUAAUGAACCUUUCAAAAUUAUUCUACAAAGUGGUCAACUACUGCCCCUCCAAUCUGCUGAAUAGUCUGUAAAGAUUGGCCUUGACUAUCUUCUAUUUCUGAAAUAUGAAGUUUUUUCCUUCUUCCUUUAACAUAUGCAUGGAAGAAUUUUGUGUUCCUAUCUCCUUCUGCAAACCACCUCAUUCCAGCCUUUUGCAUCCAAAAUUCUUCUUCAAUUUUAUAGUAUUUCUUUAGUUCUGCCUCUGUCCUACUUAUUUUUUAUCUGUUAUCAGCUGAUGGUUGUAGUUCCGUUUGAGUCUAUUUAACCUUUACAAUGUCCUCCAUAGUGGCAAUCUGCUGAAAGAUGUCACCAAAAGCCUUUUUGCUACACCUAGACAAAGUUAUCUUCACCUUCUUCAUUUUAGCAUGAAAUUCUACAAAUGGACCUCCAGUGAAAUCUACCUUCCAGUUUUGUGCUACAAUAUACUUGAAUUAAUUAUGUUUUGUCCAGAAGUUUAAGAAUCUAAAAGGCUUCACAAUGAUUUCUUCUUCUGAAUUACAUACCACAUACAAAGGAGCAUGGUUUGACCCUUGCCUGAUGAGGUGAUGCACUUAUGAAGAUGGGAGUACUUCCAUAAAUUCUUGAUUUACCAGAACUCUAUAAAGCCUUUUGAAUAUACAUUCCCCUUUAAUUCUUUCAUUACACCAAGUAUAAUUACUUUCUUUGAAUCUGAUCUCCACUAAUGCACAGCUAUUGAUAAACUGUGCAAAGUCUGCUACCUCAUUUUGAGAGAAAGUUAGACCUCCUAGCUUUUCUUUGUCAUUUAAGAUUACAUUAAAAUCACCCCCAAUAAUCCAUGGUAAUUGAUUGUUUUCACCCACAGUCUCUAAUUCUUCCCAUAGUUCCAAUCUCUCCAAAGCAUUGCAUUUUGCAUAGACUGAUGUAAUGAGGACUUUAGUAUUAUUUUUGUUGAACUUCAUAGUGAUCUGUUGUAUAGAAUUUAGAACAAAAGUAGCUACUAAUUCCUCCCUACAAAACAACCAUAUUUUACCAGAGAAAUUAACUCCAGCAUGUCUAAAACCCAUCUUCUUUUUGUAUUGAUCUAAUUCUAUAGGAUCUUGAAAAGGUUCCAUAAGAGCUAUGAAAGAGUGGUACAACAACAACAACAACCCAGUAAAAUCCCAAAACAUAGGGUCUAGGAAAGGUAAAGUGUACGCAGACCUUACUCUCAGCAAGGUAGGACAGCUGUUUCCGAGAGACCCUCGGCUCAAUAGAAAGAGUGGUAUGAAAUUGGUUUUAAUGGCAGAGGCUGCUUAACAAGGGCUUUGGGUUGUACUAACGUUCCAGCAUACAUUGGGAUCUGAGUUGUUACUGAUUGAUCAACCCUAGGUGGAGGUUGACCACUGGCCGUAGCGGCCAUGGUCACCGAAAAAAUUGAGGGUGGCGAUUAGGGUUAGGUCUGGUAGAGAGCGUUUUUUUCUUCAGUAGAUUAUCUCUUAGCAAUUUAACACCAUUAUUUUUAGCUAAAGUAAAAUCUUUUAUCAAACAAAAUGGAGUUUCAAUUUAUAU